rnacentral:rRNA from 1 species
UACAGAGGGUGCAAACGUUGCUCGGAAUCAUUGGGCGUAAAGCGCACGUAGGCGGCUCAGCAAGCGGGGAGUGAAAGCCCUCGGCUUAACCGAGGAAGUGCUUUCCGAACUACUGAGCUUGAAUACCGGAGAGGAUCGCGGAAUUCCCGGUGUAGAGGUGAAAUUCGUAGAUAUCGGGAGGAACACCAGUGGCGAAGGCGGCGAUCUGGACGGAUAUUGACGCUGAGGUGCGAAAGCGUGGGGAGCAAACAGG